rnacentral:rRNA from 1 species
AAAACGACUCUCGGCAACGGAUAUCUCGGCUCUCACAUCGAUGAAGAACGUAGCGAAAUGCGAUACUUGGUGUGAAUUGCAGAAUCCCGUGAACCAUCGAGUCUUUGAACGCAAGUUGCGCCCCAAGCCUUCUGGCCGAGGGCACGUCUGCCUGGGUGUCACAA